rnacentral:rRNA from 1 species
GGGGAAUAUUGCACAAUGGGGGAAACCCUGAUGCAGCAACGCCGCGUGAGUGAUGACGGUCUUCGGAUUGUAAAGCUCUGUCUUUUGGGACGAUAAUGACGGUACCAAAGGAGGAAGCCACGGCUGACUACGUGCCAGCAGCCGCGGUAAUACGUAGGUGGCAAGCGUUGUCCGGAUUUACUGGGCGUAAAGAAUGUGUAGGCGGAUACUUAAGUGAGAUGUGAAAGCCCCGGGCUCAACCUGGGGACUGCAUUUCAAACUGGGUAUCUAGAGUGCAGGAGAGGAAAGCGGAAUUCCUAGUGUAGCGGUGAAAUGCGUAGAGAUUAGGAAGAACAUCAGUGGCGAAGGCGGCUUUCUGGGCUGUAACUGACGCUGAGGCAUGAAAGCGUGGGGAGCAAAC